rnacentral:lncRNA from 1 species
ACUACUCGAUUUAGUGUGCGCUGCCGCUCAGCCAAACAAAAAGCGACCACCUAUCAUUUCUGAAAUCUACCCCCCCCUCCCCCCCCCAUUCCACCCAAUCCCACUGAAAUCAGUGACGACUAGAGCCCCCCUCCCCUUCCUGUCCAGUCGUUGCAGCGGAAUCAUGCCCCUCGCUCUUCAUUUCUCCAUCCCUCCUUCCCUCUUCCACCCUCUCUCUCCUUCCCAUGCUCUCACUCUGACAUAUCAAAUAGGCUACACGCAAUUACGCCAUCUAUCAAACCUCCCAGAUGUUCUAAUCAACAGCGCCACACGGAACGCGCACAAGGCACCCAAAUGCACGCUUCCUGUCCAGGUCUGCCCUUUGUGCUGAGAGCACCGGGUUCUUUCUCUGUUUGGACUCCCUAACAUUGUGCCAAAGACACACCGGACGAGAACUACAGCAUAUUCAGUCUCUAUUGUCCUCAGACUCCGACAUGUAUUUGAUGUAUUAUGAUACGCCAUCUCUUAGCUAGUUUUUGUUCCACAACCCAGAGAGAUAGGCGUAGCCCAUAGAAUGAAAACAUAACCGUACACUGACGGGGUGGUUUGACCGUCAGUGCUGGUGCUCUUCGCAGCGUACAGGUGUGCUGUUCCGGUGUUUCACCUGCAGGUUGCAGCAUUGUUCCUGGAAACGGUCUCAAACCUGUCACCUGGACCAUGCAGACUGCGUUUUUCUGGUUGCGUUUACACAGCCAGCCCAAUUAUACCUUUUUAAUAAUCAGAGCAGCGCGGAAAAAUAUCUGAUGCGAAAAGAUCUGGUAUGAUUGGUCAAAAGACCAGUUAGUGGGUAAAAUAUCCGAAUUGGGCUGCCUGUGUAAACGCAUCUUCUGAGGCAUCAGGAUCGUACAAGUGUCACCUGUAACGUGAUUUUUGUUAGCCUACCAUAGGCCUAUGCAUCAAUGUGCAUGAUUGAGGAGGACGGACAGGUAGCCUAAUAUCUUAUGACGUCAAAAUAUGUGUCCACUUGCAUUGCAGGCCUAUUUGUAGAAACAUGUAAGGCCUAAAUAAGAAUGUUCUCCAUUAUUUUAGAUUUCCUUUGCAUUGAUUGCCUUUGCCUUCAACGCUGAAGAAGGGUUCAUACCCGAAACUCAUCCCAAUACAAAUAUGUCAAUUUAACUUAGUUUUUUUUUUUACCGGAGUGCUCUCCUAUUUCUGUUUCAUUUAUCAUUGGCCCACAAUACAAUAAUUUACUUAUCUUUCUCCAUUUAUAGCCUACUCCUUUGCAAUGUUUGUCUAGAUACAGCACUUCGUAGCGAUAGUCUACCACUUUUUUAAAAUAACGUUAGUAGUAAACAUUGUUAGGGGAACGCGAAGUUUAAACAUGACUUCGAGGUUUUGCUUCAGGACGGUGGGGAGCUCGAGACAUAGCCCAUGGACUGCACGGACCUAUGGAUACCCCCUAAGCUAAUAUCACAAGUGUAUUGUGAUAAUUAAUUCAUGCACUUGAAGUAGCCUACAUUGCUUAUCAAUAUUUUACAGAUUACAUAACUAACUUGUAAUUUAUUAUGAAACAUUGAAACAAAAACGGUUUUGGUCUGUAUAUCGUUAAGAAUAUGCAGGUCGGUGUCUUGGUUGUUGUUGUAAUUCAUCCCACAUUUUUUUUUUUAUAUUCAAAAGAUAUUGUAAGUCUAAUUCAGCAAAUCAGGAAAUUGAUGCAACGUGUGUCAUGUUUAAAAAUCAAAUAAAAAAUCCUGAACAUACAGCAUGG